UGCCUCUUCUGAUAAUACUUUCCCCGGAUUCUCUUCAGGGGAGCAAACAUCUCUUCCUUGGUCCCUCUGGUUCAGAAAAGUACCAGUUCAAGACAAAAUUCAGAUACAGUGAAGACAAAACGAGGUAAACACAUGCCUUGGUAGAUAUAAAGGGACUGUUAGCGCGAAGGAGGAGGGGCAUCUCAUACUGUUCACCCUGCUCUCAGUACCCCAGCAGGAAAACCAUGGACCAGCACCUAUUCAACAGAGCUCAGAGCCGCAAAUGGGGCAAGAAGCCAUCACGAAACCUUCUUUCUUACAAUGAACUGGCCCUAAUGUAUUACAUGUUUCUGUGUCUCUUCUAUAUGAGUCGAGGACAAUUGGUGGCACUGUUGGCAAAUGAAAUGGUAAGCAAAAAUGCAAAGGACCUGAUGUCCUUUGCAAAUGAUUUGUGGUAUACUUGAACCAUCGGUUCUUCUCUAUGAGUUACACUAAAAGUUAAAGUUAUUAACAAUCUGAACUUGUGCCCAGCUCCUCCACAGUCCAGUUUGAGAAAACUCCCCUAAACCAGGGUUCUGAACCUGGGGGUCCACACAAUCCUUGAAAUUCUGGGGAUCAGUGACCCUGGUACCAUGUAUUUUAUUUUAUGCACUUAACAUUUUGAGAAGGGGUCCAGAGGCUUCACCAGGAUGCUGGAAAGGUCCACGACACAGAAACAGUUAAGUAGCACCAUCCUGGUGAUCAAGGUCCCAAGGGAGUCCAGGGAUGUUCCCCACCCAACAGGACAAAAGGGAGUCCAUGCAAAUACCAGACCAGGAAAUGAUGGAAACCUGUUGAUUGUCUGUUUAGGGAAGAGAGCUGGCCUCUGGGCCAGCCCUAG